AGCGAACGCUGGCGGCAGGCCUAACACAUGCAAGUCGAACGAAGCCUUCGGGCUUAGUGGCGGACGGGUGAGUAACACGUGGGAACGUACCUUUUGGUUCGGAAUAACGCAGAGAAAUUUGCGCUAAUACCGAAUGAGCCCUUCGGGGGAAAGAUUUAUCGCCGAAAGAUCGGCCCGCGUUGGGUUAGGUAGUUGGUGUGGUAAAGGCGCACCAAGCCUACGAUCCAUAGCUGGUCUGAGAGGAUGAUCAGCCACACUGGGACUGAGACACGGCCCAGACUCCUACGGGAGGCAGCAGUGGGGAAUCUUGCGCAAUGGGCGAAAGCCUGACGCAGCCAUGCCGCGCGAAUGAUGAAGGUCUUAGGAUUGUAAAAUUCUUUUACCAGGGACGAUAAUGACGGUACCUGGAGAAAAAGCCCCGGCUAACUUCGUGCCAGCCGCCGCUGUAAUAC
rnacentral:rRNA from 1 species